GCAAGGAGGUGGAGACCAGCUGUUCCGAGGCCAAGGCGGUGGUUGAAGGUCAUCAUAUGUUCAUAGAAGAUCGGUUGUGGUGCUGGUAGCAUGAAUUGUACGAGUUGUCAGAGCCUUUCUCAGAAUCACAGGACACCACUCAUUUGAGCUAUGCUAUCAACACAGGUUUGCUUCUUUGAAUGGUGAUGAUGAUUGAUGUCCAUUUCAUACAGUUUACACAAAAAAAUGUAGGCAGUCCAUGCCACAGGAUUGAGUUUAAUUCUAACCAUGACAUUCUUGCAAUCAAGUAUUUUAGAACGUUUCUAAACCAUCAAGUGGCUGGGCGGGCUUGUUUUGUCGCGGCUUUGGUAGGUUUACUA